rnacentral:tRNA from 1 species
GGGUUUGUAGCUCAGCUGGUUAGAGUGCGCGCCUGAUAAGUGCGAGGUCGGUGGUUCAAGUCCACCCAGACCCACCA